rnacentral:rRNA from 1 species
UUUCUGGCGGGAGCGGGUGGUCCGGCACUUUGUGUUGGUACUUUCCUGUCUCUUGCCAUCCUUGGGUCUAAGCUGUCUGGCAUUUAGUUGUCGGGCAGUGGCUGCCCAUCGUUUACUGUGAAAAAAUUAGAGUGUUCAAAGCAGGCUUAUGCCGUUGAAUAUAUUAGCAUGGAAUAAUAAGAUAGGACCUUGGUACUAUUUUGUUGGUUUGCGCACCGAGGUAAUGAUUAAGAGGGACAGUUGGGGGUAUUCGUAUUCAAUUGUCAGAGGUGAAAUUCUUGGAUUUCUGGAAGACGAACUACUGCGAAAGCAUUUACCAAGGAUGUUUUCAUUAAUCAAGAACGAAAGUUAGGGGAUCGAAGAUGAUUAGAUACCAUCGUAGUCUUAACCAUAAACUAUGCCGACUAGGGAUUUGUGGGUGUUAUUUUUGACCCCAUGAGCACCUUAUGAGAAAUCAAAGUCUUUGGGUUCCGGGGGGAGUAUGGUCGCAAGUCUGAAACUUAAAGAAAUUGACGGAAGGGCACCACCAGGAGUGGAGCCUGCGGCUUAAUUUG